rnacentral:rRNA from 1 species
GACGAACGCUGGCGGCGUGCCUAAAACAUGCAAGUCGAACGAGGGAGCAAUCUCUAGUGGCGAACGGCGGAGUAAGACGUGAGCAACGUGCCCCAAAGUCCGGGACAAACGCAGAAAUGCCAUAAAUACCGGAUGUGGUCCAACCUCGGCAUCGAGGAUGGAUUAAACGGAUUUUCGCUUUGGGAGCGGCUCACGGCCUAUCAGGUAGUUGGUGGGGUAACGGCCUACCAAGCCGACGACAGGUAACGGGUCUGAGAGGAUGAUCCGUCCGAGUGGGACUGAGACACGGCCCACACACCUACGGGCGGCAGCAGUUGGGAAUCUUGCACAAUGGGGGAAACCCUGAUGCAGCGACGCCGCGUGGAGGAUGAAGGGUCUAGGCCUGUAAACUCCUUUUACCAGGAAGACUAGGACGGUACCUGGGGAAUAAGGACCGGCUAACUACGUGCCAGCCGCCGCUGU